CUCAAGGGUUAGGAUGUGGAUUUGUCGAUUUCAUCAACGCAUAUUUUCACACUCUCGUCAAGGAAGAAAAGAAUGUCUCGCUUUUCUUUUCACAUCGGAGAAGCCUUUCCAUCUCUGACUGUUGCACACGCCUAAUUAGGCUAAUUAGAUUUUUCUCAGCUGAAACCGGGAGUUUAACAAGACACGAUUCUUUGCACUCUGCUCCUUGACGGCACCUCGCUUGUUCUCUGUCUCUUUUCUCCACCUCGUUCCUCCUGUCAGAGACAAUCGCCGGGAAAUGCUGACAGAACCGGCGGAACCAAAGCAGAGUAAUCACAGGACGGCCGGGCCGUAAGCGGACGAUCUGCUACUGACCUCAGGGAGACGAGGAGUCACCAGCCAGCGCCAAAAAGUCCAGCCAAGGUCUGGACAAGCUUAACAGGCUUUUGACUGUGGACCGAAAAUAGUCUCCAGUUUCCCUUCAAAGCUAGAAAAACAUAUCCAGUGUGUGCUGCAUUUCACUAAAAGAAUGCUUCUUCAUGGUGAGAUGGAUAGAUUUGAUGACACAACUGUGUCACUCUUAAAAGGUUUUGGACGAGAUGGGCCGAAUUCUAGAGUCAGGCACCAAGAACUUCACUGACCAGAUCAAAGCCAGAUGGGAAAGCUUUUGCGAAAAUGCGCUGUUCUUUGGAGUGUGGAACAAGUCGUUGAAGCCACCAAUGGCUAGAUAAGCGAUUGCUUUCAUGAAGGCACUUCCCUCAAUGUUUCCUUCCCCAACUGCCCCACCCAAAAAGCUUGGGUCAGCAAGUGAGGCACUGUUCCCUGUUCUUGAGCCAUCCGAGGACCCCAAUACGUUUCUCCAGAAACGGCCCAUCACCAGUCCAGUCAUCCUAGACUCUACUCACCUCCUCCUGGCUGUUGGCAAAAUCCCACUGAUGACCCUACCUAGGGAAAUGAUGCACGAGGCUCCACUCAUCCUGAUGGGGUGUUUUAACACCUUCCACCUCACCUACCCCAAAUGUGUUGCUACUCUCCUAUCCGUCAUCCAGACUGAGGUACUGAAGGACAGUAUUCACGAGCGUGACCUUACUCAUUCAUACAAAAAAGCAAUAGCUGAAUGGGCAGAAUUCACAAAAAAGUAGAGAACUUGAAUUCUGUGUCCAGUUUGUCAGUUCUAUGAGGAUGUAUAUAUGUUGAAGAGCUUUGUUCAUUUAAUAAAUGAUCCUGUUUGUUAUGGACUGACUUAAUAAAAACGUGUUUUUUGAAA